AAGAGGUCCUCCCAGAAUAUUUGCUUUGCUCUGAAGCUCUGAGAAUUCCAGUGACAUCCUUUUUGAUGGAAAUGAUACAAAAGUGAC
rnacentral:lncRNA from 1 species